rnacentral:rRNA from 1 species
AUGGGAACACAAGUGGGAAAUGAAGUGCUAGAAGAUAUAGUGCAUCAACUUAGACAGAAAGCUUGCAUCCACGGCUGCUCUCUUUUUCCACACGGGCGCGCUGCGGAUUCCCCACCGGUGAGAUUUCGACGGACGGACUGGAGGUCAACGGGAGCGGUGGAGCUAACAUCACCGGAUGGAAAAAGUGUUGUGUUCCCGGUGGAAUCCCAAGAUUCCAUGAGUGCUCCAGCCCUAGAGCUCGACAAGGACGAAGAAGCAGCGAUGGUUGGAGAUGGGAAGAGAUACGAGGUGUGCUCUCAAGCNNNNNNNNNNNNNNNNNNNAGGGUGAGGCUCGGGAAAGCACCUGGUGAGAGGGACAUGAACCCCGACAGGAAAACAACGGUUGAGCUGUCUGUCCAUGCUUAUGCUGAAAAAUGUGAAGGGCAUGUCAUCAAUCCAACAACUGGCACGGAAUUUGACUUGUUGGAUGAGGCAUAUGAGUUCUAUAACCUAUAUUCAUGGGAAACUGGGUUUGGUAUACGGCUGGCGAAGAGCAGGCUCAAUGUGCAGAGAACAAGAUGUAUGCAAGAGAUUGUGUGUGCAUGCGCGAUACGUCUGUGUAAAAAAAAGCAUGUUUCUUCCUGGUUUUUUGCAUGGUACGUCUGUGUAAAUUCAGAUCAACCGCUCGUGUCUUGCAAUGUGUUGCUGUUUACCAAACAGAAAUCUUGGUUUUUUGCACGAGCUGCUGAAAGUUUCUUCCUGGUAAAUUGUGAAAUGUAUCAAUAA